rnacentral:rRNA from 1 species
ACGUACGCUGGCGGCACGCCUAACACAUGCAAGUCGAACGAAGUAGCAAUACUUAGUGGCAGACGGGUGAGUAACAUGUGGGUAUCUGCCCUUUGGCCUGGAAUAACACGAGGAAACUUGUGCUAAUACCGGAUAAGUCUUUACGGAGAAAGCUUUAUGCACCAUUGGAUGAGCCCGCACUUGAUUAGUUUGUUGGUGGGGUAAUGGCCUACCAAGACUGUGAUCAAUAGCUGAUUUGAGAGGAUGAUCAGCCACAUUGGGACUGAGACACGGCCCAAACUCCUACGGGAGGCAGCAGUGGGGAAUCUUGCACAAUGGAGGAAACUCUGAUGCAGCGAUGCCGCGUGAGUGAAGAAGGCCCUUGGGUUGUAAAGCUCUUUCGUCGGGGAAGAAAAUGACUGUACCCGAAUAAGAAGGUCCGGCUAACUUCGUGCCAGCAGCCGCGGUAAUACGAAGGGACCUAGCGUAGUUCGGAAUUACUGGGCUUAAAGAGUUCGUAGGUGGUUGAAAAAGUUAGUGGUGAAAUCCCAGAGCUUAACUCUGGAACUGCCAUUAAAACUUUUCAGCUAGAGUAUGAUAGAGGAAAGCAGAAUUUCUAGUGUAGAGGUGAAAUUCGUAGAUAUUAGAAAGAAUACCAAUUGCGAAGGCAGCUUUCUGGAUCAUUACUGACACUGAGGAACGAAAGCAUGGGUAGCGAAGAGGAUUAGAUACCCUCGUAGUCCAUGCCGUAAACGAUGUGUGUUAGACGUUGGAAAUUUAUUUUCAGUGUCGCAGCGAAAGCGAUAAACACACCGCCUGGGGAGUACGACCGCAAGGUUAAAACUCAAAUGAAUUGACGGGGACCCGCACAAGUAGUGGAGCAUGUGGUUUAAUUCGAAGAUACGCGCAGAACCUUACCAACACUUGACAUGUUCGUCGCGACUCUAAGAGAUUAGAGUUUUCGGUUCGGCCGGACGAAACACAGGUGCUGCAUGGCUGUCGUCAGCUCGUGUCGUGAGAUGUUGGGUUAAGUCCCGCAACGAGCGCAACCCCUACUUUUAGUUGCCACCAUUCAGUUGGGCACUUUAAAAGAACUGCCAGUGAUAAGCUGGAGGAAGGUGGGGAUGACGUCAAGUCCUCAUGGCCCUUAUGUGUUGGGCUACACACGUGCUACAAUGGUACUUACAAUGGGAUGCAAAGAGGCGACUCUAAGCUAAUCCCUAAAAUGUACCUCAGUUCGGAUUGUACUCUGUAACUCGAGUGCAUGAAGCUGGAAUUGCUAGUAAUCGCGGAUCAGCGCGCCGCGGUGAAUACGUUCCCGGGUCUUGCACUCACCGCC